rnacentral:rRNA from 1 species
ACGCGCGGAACCUUACCUGGUCUUGACAUAUCUAGAAUCCUGCAGAGAUGCGGGAGUGCCUUCGGGAAUUAGAAUACAGGUGCUGCAUGGCUGUCGUCAGCUCGUGUCGUGAGAUGUUGGGUUAAGUCCCGCAACGAGCGCAACCCUUGUCCUUAGUUACCAGCGGGUUAAGCCGGGAAACUCUAAGGAUACUGCCAGUGACAAACUGGAGGAAGGCGGGGACGACGUCAAGUCAUCAUGGCCCUUACGA